AACGAACGCUGGCGGCAGGCUUAACACAUGCAAGUCGAACGCAUCCUUCGGGGCGAGUGGCAGACGGGUGAGUAACGCGUGGGAACGUGCCCUUCAGUUCGGGAUAACCCAGGGAAACUUGGGCUAAUACCGGAUACGUGCGAGAGCAGAAAGAUUUAUCGCUGAAGGAUCGGCCCGCGUCUGAUUAGCUAGUUGGUGGGGUAAUGGCCCACCAAGGCGACGAUCAGUAGCUGGUCUGAGAGGAUGAUCAGCCACAUUGGGACUGAGACACGGCCCAAACUCCUACGGGAGGCAGCAGUGGGGAAUAUUGGACAAUGGGCGCAAGCCUGAUCCAGCCAUGUCGCGUGAGUGAUGAAGGCCUUAGGGUUGUAAAGCUCUUUCGUCCGGGACGAUAAUGACGGUACCGGAAGAAGAAGCCCCGGCUAACUUCGUGCCAGCCGCCGCGGUAACAC
rnacentral:rRNA from 1 species